rnacentral:rRNA from 1 species
UACGUGGGGUGCGAGCGUUGUCCGGAAUUAUUGGGCGUAAAGGGCUCGUAGGCGGUUUGUCGCGUCGGGAGUGAAAACACGGGGCUUAACCCCGUGCCUGCUUCCGAUACGGGCAGACUAGAGGUAUGCAGGGGAGAACGGAAUUCCUGGUGUAGCGGUGAAAUGCGCAGAUAUCAGGAGGAACACCGGUGGCGAAGGCGGUUCUCUGGGCCUGUACUGACGCUGAGGAGCGAAAGCGUGGGGGAGCGAACAGG